AUUCACUUGCGAGUGAAUAAUUCUACCUCAUUAAAUCCGUAUUCAUGUGAACUCCAAUUUAAUCCCGUAGAAAGAGAUAGAAUAACGCACGCAUUGUCCGUGUACGGGUAUUUAAAGGAAAAGAAUGUCAACAUUGAAAGUGAAAAAAAAAGGUAAAUAAUUUGAUUAACUGAUUCGAUCCACACAAAAUUAUUCUUUUAAAGGUAAAAACGACGAUAAACAUAAAUUUUUAAUCUAUAAUACAAAAUUUGAUAGACCUAUAAAAAUCCAAUUGCACGAGUUGCUUAAUCUAUUUAUAUCUAUGUUUAUGUUUACAUCGCU
rnacentral:lncRNA from 1 species